rnacentral:misc_RNA from 1 species
AACUUUCAGCAACGGAUCUCUUGGCUCGCGCAUCGAUGAAGAACGCAGCGAAAUGCGAUAAGUAAUGUGAAUUGCAGAAUUCAGUGAAUCAUCGAAUCUUUGAACGCACCUUGCACCCUUUGGCAUUCCGUAGGGCAUGCUCGUUUGAGUGUCAUUGUACUCUCACACUCCCGAUGCUUUUGGAUUGGGAGUGGUGGACUUGUGUGUUGCUGCUUUACUGUGGCUCACCUCAAGUGGAGUAGUGCAACUCUUGGUUGGACAUAGUACGGCGUGAUAAGUGUCUUCGCCGGCGCCUCAUUAGAGGGUGGCCGAUCGGGAGCUCUGUGCUUCAAGCCGUCUUCGGACAACAUCUGACAACUUGACCUCAAAUCGAGUAGGACUACCUGCUGAACUUAAGCAUAUCAAUAAGCGGAGGCU